UGGCGGCGUGCUUAACACAUGCAAGUCGAACGGGACUGAUUGAAAGCUUGCUUUUGAAAAGUCUAGUGGCAAACGGGUGAGUAACGCGUAGGCAACCUGCCUCUAAGAUGGGGACAACAGCCCGAAAGGGCUGCUAAUACCGAAUGUUGUGAGUUUUCCGCAUGGAGGAUUCGUUAAAGAUGGCCUCUACGUUGUAAGCUAUCACUUAGAGAUGGGCCUGCGUCUGAUUAGCUAGUUGGUGGGGUAACGGCUCACCAAGGCGACGAUCAGUAGCCGGUCUGAGAGGAUGAACGGCCACAUUGGGACUGAGACACGGCCCAGACUCCUACGGGAGGCAGCAGUGGGGAGUCUUCCGCAAUGGGCGAAAGCCUGACGGAGCAACGCCGCGUGAGUGAAGAAGGUCUUCGGAUCGUAAAGCUCUGUCGAAGGGGACGAACGUGGGUUCUAUCAACAACGGAACCCAAUGACGGUACCUUCAAGAAAGCCACGGCUAACUACGUGCCAGCCGCAGC
rnacentral:rRNA from 1 species